rnacentral:rRNA from 1 species
CAGGAUGAACGCUAGCAUAGGCCUAACACAUGCAAGUCGAGGGGCAGCAGAUCGAAAGCUUGCUUUGAUGCUGGCGACCGGCGAAUGGGUGAGUCACGCGUGUCCAACCUGCCCUGUGCCCGGGGAUAGCCCUUGGAAAUGAGGAUUAACACCCGAUAGGUGGCGCUUCCGCAUGGCGGCGCCAUGAAACCGACACAGGAUGGGGACGCGUCGGAUUAGCUUGACGGCGGGGCGACGGCCCACCGUGGCGACGAUCCGCAGGGGUUCUGAGAGGAAGGUCCCCCCACACUGGCACUGAGACACGGGCCAGACUCCUACGGGAGGCAGCAGUGAGGAAUAUUGGUCAAUGGCCGAGAGGCUGAACCAGCCAAGUAAGCGUGCAGGACGACGGCCCUACGGGUUGUAAACUGCUUUUGCGGGAGGAUAAAGGACACUACGUGUAGUGUUUUGCAGGUAUCCCGUGAAUAAGGACCGGCUAAUUCCGUGCCAGCCGCGGC